GACGAACCGUACGAACGUUAUUCGGAAUCACUGGGCUUAAAGGGCGCGUAGGUGGUUUGCCAAGUCAGGGGUGAAAUCCUUCGGCUUAACCGGAGAAUAGCCCCUGAUACUGGCGAGCUAGAGGGAGACAGAGGCAGCCGGAACUACCGGUGGAGCGGUGAAAUGCGUUGAUAUCGGUAGGAACGCCAGAGGCGCAAGCGGGCUGCUGGAUCUCUUCUGACACUGAUGCGCGAAAGCUAGGGUAGCGAACGGG
rnacentral:rRNA from 1 species